GAUGAACGCUGGCGGCGUGCCUAAUACAUGCAAGUCGAACGCUUCACUUCGGUGAAGAGUGGCGAACGGGUGAGUAAUACAUAAGUAACCUGGCAUCUACAGGGGGAUAACUGAUGGAAACGUCAACUAAGACCGCAUAGGUGUAGAGAUCGCAUGAACUCUAUAUGAAAAGUGCUACGGGACUGGUAGAUGAUGGACUUAUGGCGCAUUAGCUUGUUGGUAGGGUAACGGCCUACCAAGGCGACGAUGCGUAGCCGACCUGAGAGGGUGACCGGCCACACUGGGACUGAGACACGGCCCAGACUCCUACGGGAGGCAGCAGUAGGGAAUUUUCGGCAAUGGGGGAAACCCUGACCGAGCAACGCCGCGUGAAGGAAGAAGUAAUUCGUUAUGUAAACUUCUGUCAUAGAGGAAGAACGGUGGAUAUAGGGAAUGAUAUCCAAGUGACGGUACUCUAUAAGAAAGCCACGGCUAACUACGUG
rnacentral:rRNA from 1 species